GGGAAAGCAGCAGUUGAAGAAACAAGAUUGAAGAACUGCAAAGGAAUUUCCCAUAAGUGACACCACUGCAGUUGCUGCCCCAACACUACUCUCCAACCACUGUUGAAGAAACUACAUCUGCUUUACCAUAUCCCUCCUAUGGAAGCACAACUAUGGAAUAUUUUGCAUGACUGAACCACAUAAACAUCAGUUCUGCUGCCCAUAGAGUCUUCAUGAACAGAGAGUGGAGUGGAAUUUGGCAGCUAAACUCUCUGAAGAUUCCAUCUGAGCAUACUCCAUCCCCAUCACAGCUCCUAUGUGCUCACUGAACUGCAUGUGUGCCAUCUGUACAGAGUGACCGAGCAUAUUCCAUCCAAGAACUACCGGUCUCAGGAACUGCUGGGAGCUGCUGUGGCACCAGACACUAGAAUGGAUAGCAGGGGGACUGUGUCUCUUAUGUGCUUUCAGUGCUCCACCUGCUGGUGCCUAGGCAAGGAGGAGGAGGAGUUAAAUGAUUUGAAUGCAGAGGGAUGAGUAACAGGAGUGGGGAUAGAGGAAAGAGAUGCCAAGUUGGGAGAGAGGGGCAGGAUCUCAGAAAGGAGAGGAGAAAG